GCCAGAAGCCCGGGUAAUGUUAGUUGGGGCAUAUUGCGGAUACACCAAGCCGGACAACAUCGAGCAGUAUUUGCGGCCACUCGUGACGGAAAUAAAUGAACUGCAUGAGAGAGGUUUGAUGUUCGGCGAUAAAAUGGUGCAUACUAAACUACGCAUGUUUGUCGCGGAUUCACCUGCUCGCUGUUUUGUCAACGCUACCAUUAGCUUCGUUGGAAAACAUAGCUGCCUGAAAUGUUCCUGCGUUGGAGUGCACGAAGCGAACAAGGUAAUUUUUGUUUAUGUGGAUGCUGAGUUGCGUACAGAUGAAGGGUUCAGGAACAGGGUAGAUAGAGAGCACCAUAAAAGUUGGCGAUAACCGUUAGAAGAUAUUAGCUGUUUUGAUUUGAUCAAAGAUUCAAUUGUAGCAGAACGUUUACAUUUAUUAGAUAUCGGGGUAACAAAAAAGAUAGCAAGAGGUUUAGUAGAGCACAAUUUUUUAGAUUUUGGAAGAUGGACAGCCCAACAACACGAAAACGUGUAGAAAUCAAUAGAAGAUUACGGCACGUUAAGUUUAUUAGGUAUUGGAAGGCAACAGAAUUCCGCACGUUUCUCCAUUACGUUAGCAUAAUUGUGUUUAAAGAUUUUAUGUGGGAAGAGGCUUUUAAUCAUUUCCUGCUCUAUUUCUCUGCAAUAACCAUUUUCUCCAGUACAAAACACCAUCAUCUUUGGGCGCUUGCUAAAAAGAUGUUGUAUAAAUUUGUAAAAGAUUUUGCCAAUUUUUAUGGUCGUAGUAACUUAACCAGUAAUGUCCACAACCUUAUACACAUUUAUGAUGACGUUGAUAGGUUUGGUCCCUUAGAUAAAAUUUCAGCUUAUGUUUUUGAAAACCAUUUGCAAUUUAUUAAACGUUGCAUUAGAUCAGGCAAUAGAUGUUUAGAGCAGGUUAUAACGAGAGGUAGAGAGUUUGAAAAUAUUAAGAGGGCUUAUCAUAUAAUAACACCAACCUAUCCUAAGUUGUUGGCCAACGGCUCCGGCUUGCAAGUAAGAGAUGAUUUUUGUCUUACGGCCAAUUUUAAAAACCAAUGGUUCCUUAGUCAUGAAAACUGUAUUGUACAGUUUUUAGAAGCUAAGGAAUCAGCUUCAUCAUCAUCAUCAUCAUCAUCAUCAUCAUCAUCCUUUACAAUAGUUGGUUUGCAAUAUAAAUGCUGCGAAGAAAUGUAUAAAGUUUCGAUAGAGGGGGACACUAUCUCUCCUGUCGAAUUAUCGUCCACUGCUUUAUAUAUUUAUAAAGUAAGAAAUAACACUCCUCGCCGCAGAGUGGAGCUGCCCCAUCAAACGAUUAAAUGCAAAUUAGUUGCUAUACGUUUACCAUCCCAAUCGCUUGCCCGCCGCCCUGUUCAACCAACAAUUCCUUCAACUACUACGGUAUUUUUCCCCCUCCUUCAUACUUUAUAGUUUUUGUAGCAAGACUUUUAUAUUUUUAAACAUGUAAAUUAAUGUUUUUACUUCUUUUUUAGAGCAGGGAUAUACAAUAUCUUGUGUACCGCAUAGGUAAGCUGAAUAAAGUAAUAAGUAUUUUAAAUAUAUCUAAUUCUUUCAAUGUCUUUUUUCAGGUGGAACGUGGAUAACAACGUUAAGAAAAAUAGAUUUUAGUAAACAAUUUUAGCAUCGAUUACCUUUGGACCAACAGAAACAACUUCCUGAAACAGCCGUAAAAUGUUGGUCUUAUCAUAAAACGGAAUUUUUGGAUUAGGCCGGCCAUCCCCACUCCAACUGCAUUUUGUCAAAAACAUUUGACAAAACAAUGCGUACAAUAACUCGUGUAAACUCUGCUUGUAGAAGGUAACUAAAAUUGCACUACACAUUCGCGUUUUUACCUCGUCAUAAAACUCCGCACAUGACAACUUUUCAUUGAAACGCUUCAUAUCUUCUUCCGACGUAAUUUUUUCCAUUACAGAUCCAGUAUCAAUGUUUGAUGACAACGACGCCGGUACUACCAAGUUAUCAAUAAGAUGAUCUAGUUGGCAUUUCAUUGUGACCACUGCACUCAUCGUUUUGGAUACGUUCUUCGUAUUUUCAUCCAACUUUAGCUGCAUGUGGUUUAAUGUGAUCAGAAUUCGAUCCAACUUUUCUUCGACAGACG